GCAUGUCUAAGUACAGGCCUACCCAGGGCGAAACCGCGAAUGGCUCAUUAAAUCAGUCAUGAUUUAUUAGAGAUCGUAAGAUCCCUUACUUGGAUAACUGUGGUAAUUCUAGAGCUAAUACAUGCNAUUGAGCUCCGACCUCGUCGCCUUUGGGCGGCGAGGGAAGGGCGUUUUUAUUAGAUCAAAAACCGAGCGGACCUUCGGGUUCUUCUCCCAUAAAGAGAUGUGAUGACUCUGAAUAACCUAGCCGAGCGCUGCGGUCCUUGUACCGGCGCCAUAUCUUUCAAGUGUCUGCCUUAUCAGCUCUCGAUUGUAGGCUAUACGCCUACAAUGGCUGUAACGGGUAACGGGGAAUCAGGGUUCGAUUCCGGAGAGGGAGCCUGAGAAACGGCUACCACAUCUUAGGAAGGCAGCAGGCACGCAAAUUACCCACUCCCGGCCCGGGGAGGUAGUGACGAAAAAUAACGAUGCGGGACUCUUCCGAGGCCUCGCAAUCGGAAUGAGUUUACCCUAAAUCCUUGGACGAGGAUCCAUUGGAGGGCAAGUCUGGUGCCAGCAGCCGCGGUAAUUCCAGCUCCAAUAGCGUAUAUUAAAGUUGCUGCGGUUAAAAAGCUCGUAGUUGGAUUUCUAGUUUGGUCCGGCGGCCCACCCAAGGNGUGNCCUCGUCACGUUCGAGCGGGAUAUCUUUGGCUUCACCCGUCUCGGUGGUCGCGUUGGCGNACAGAANUUCUCGGAGUUGGAGGCCAUGUUGGGUUAUUGAUGCGCUUGGUGCGUGAGAAGCCGAGUGGGACUGUGUNANAGCUGAUCGUAGGCGUUGAANGGCGGACUNCACCCGNUGGAGCUUCCACCCCGAGCCUGCCUCAGCUCAGCCCCCUCACUUCCUCGCGUUUUACAUGCCAUUCGCUUAGCUUUCUCCAUCUACUCCAUCAAUCGUUAACUCCCCUCUCGUUAAACGUCGGCCCCGGGGUUAAAAGCGGGAGUUCGCUGUAUGGGUACUCCACGUUCCGUGCGAGAAAGUACGCCCGGUGGUUCAACCGUCCGGCCCCGAAUUUGGAAAUCCGUUGGCUUUCACGGGGUGCUCUUUGCCGAGUGUCCCGCGUGGCCGAUACGUUCACUUUGAAAAAAUUAGAGUGCUCAGAGCAGGCAACAACUUACGCUUGAAUGGUGGUGCAUAGAAUGAUGAAACAGGACCUCGGUUCUGUAUUUCCCAAAAUAUUUUUGCUCGGUUCGUCAGAACCCGAGGUAAUGAUUAACGGAAACAGACGGGGGCAUUAGUAUUGCGACGCUAGAGGUGAAAUUCUUGGACCGUCGCAAGACUAACUACUGCGAAAGCAUUUGCCUAGAAUGUUUUCAUUAAUCAAGAACGAAAGUUAGAGGAUCGAAGGCGAUCAGAUACCGCCCUAGUUCUAACCAUAAACGAUGCUAACUGGCGAUCCGCUUAAGUCAUUCCCACGACUGAGCGGGAAGCCCCCGGGAAACCAAAGUCUUUGAGUUCCGGGGGAAGUAUGGUUGCAAAGCUGAAACUUAAAGGAAUUGACGGAAGGGCACCACCAGGAGUGGAGCCUGCGGCUUAAUUUGACUCAACACGGGGAACCUCACCAGGCCCAGACGCCGGAAGGAUUGACAGAUUAAGAGCUCUUUCUCGAUUCGGUGGGUGGUGGUGCAUGGCCG
rnacentral:rRNA from 1 species